rnacentral:rRNA from 1 species
CCCGCCUGGGGAGUACGGCCGCAAGGUUAAAACUCAAAUGAAUUGACGGGGGCCCGCACAAGCGGUGGAGCAUGUGGUUUAAUUCGAUGCAACGCGAAGAACCUUACCUACUCUUGACAUCCAGAGAAUUUAGCAGAGAUGCUUUGGUGCCUUCGGGAACUCUGAGACAGGUGCUGCAUGGCUGUCGUCAGCUCGUGUUGUGAAAUGUUGGGUUAAGUCCCGCAACGAGCGCAACCCUUAUCCUUUGUUGCCAGCGAUUCGGUCGGGAACUCAAAGGAGACUGCCGGUGAUAAACCGGAGGAAGGUGGGGAUGACGUCAAGUCAUCAUGGCCCUUACGAGUAGGGCUACACACGUGCUACAAUGGCGUAUACAAAGAGAAGCGACCUCGCGAGAGCAAGCGGAACUCAUAAAGUACGUCGUAGUCCGGAUUGGAGUCUGCAACUCGACUCCAUGAAGUCGGAAUCGCUAGUAAUCGUAGAUCAGAAUGCUACGGUGAAUACGUUCCCGGGCCUUGUACACACCGCCCGUCACACCAUGGGAGUGGGUUGCAAAAGAAGUA